rnacentral:rRNA from 1 species
AAAAGUUACUCAAGCGCACACAAAGGAUGCCUUGACGCAAGAUACCGAUGAAGGACGUAGUAGGCUGCGAAAAGCUUCGGGGAGCUGCCAAACAAGCUUUGAACCGAAGAUAUCCGAAUGGGGAAACCCGGCUAGAGUAAUGUCUAGUCACCUGUGCCUGAAUAUAUAGGGCAUUUGGCGGGAACUGGGGGAACUGAAACAUCUUAGUACCCCAUGGAAAAGAAAGUAAACAACGAUGCCGGAAGUAGUGGCGAGCGAAACCGGUACAGCCCAAACCUUUUAGAUUUCCGUUUGUUCGCAAACGGAUAAGUUGAUAGACGAAUAUCUACAAGGGGUUGUGACACUACAAACACCCAGUCCUGAUGAACUAUCCUCGGAUAGAGCAUCGGGAUUGGUAGCAGGGGCUAUCACUACCCUGCAUAAGGUUACAAAUUUGCGAAGCGAGCAGAACUGUUUGGAAAGACAGGCCAGAGACGGUGAUAGCCCGGUAUGCCAAGCGUCGCAAACCUUAUAUUUGUAGGAGUUUGUAUUUGAACUUGUUCAAAGCCAAACUCGUAUGUCGAGUAGGUCGGAACACGAGAAACUCUGACUGAAUCUGGGACGACCACGUCCCAAGGCUAAAUAUAUCUUGCGAUCGAUAGUGAACUAGUACCGCGAGGGAAAGGUUAAAAGAACCCCGGAAGGGGAGUGAAAUAGAACCUGAAAUUGUGUGCGUACAAGGACUGGGAGCCCUUCGGGGUGACCGGGUGCUUUUUGUAGAACGAUCCAACGAGUUAAUUCUUGGUGCCAGCCUAAACCAUUUGGUGGAGGCGCAGUGAAAGCGAGCCUGAAUAGGGCGAAUUAGUACCAAGGAUUAGACCCGAAACCAGGUGACCUAACCAUGGGCAGGUUGAAGCGUAGGUAAAACUACGUGGAGGACCGAACCGUCGAGUAUUGCAACACUCUCGGAUGACCUGUGGUUAGCGGUGAAAUGCCAAUCGAACCUGGAGAUAGCUGGUUCUCCUCGAAAUAGCUUUAGGGCUAGCGUCGUACGGUAGCACAAUGGGGUAGAGCUCUGAUUCGGACUGGGGCCCUCACGGGUACCCACCCUUGUCAAACUACGAAUACGUUGUGUGGAACUACGGCAGUCAGAACGGCGGGGCUAAGCUCGUCGCUCGAAAGGGAAACAGCCCAGAUCAUCAGCUAAGGUCCCUAAAUGUAUGUUAAGUGGGAAACGAGGUGAGAUUUCUUAAACAACGAGGAUGUUGGCUUAGAAGCAGCCAUUCAUUUAAAGAGUGCGUAACAGCUCACUCGUCAAGAGAUCUUGCGCGGAAAAUGUAACGGGGCUAAACAUACUACCGAAGCUAUGGAUGUCACAUUUAUGUGGCGUGGUAGAGGAGCGUUGAUAGGGCGUUGAAGUUGGACUGCGAGGUCUGGUGGAGCGCUAUCAAGUGAGAAUGUUGGAAUGAGUAACCAUAAGGCAGGUGAGAAUCCUGCCCGCCGAAAGAGCAAGGUUUCCUGGGCCACGGUAAUCGUCCCAGGGUUAGUCGGUCCUAAGCCGAGGCGCGUAGCGUAGGCGAUGGACAACGGGUUAAUAUUCCCGUACUAGCUAUGUAUUGUUCAGUGUGCGCGGCAUAUUAGUUGGAGCGGGUUCAUGGUUAUAUCCGUCUAAGUAUCAGAAAUAGGUACGAAUGAGAUGGCCAUUAGGCUAGAUUCCAGUGAAAGUGCUGACCAGAAAAGCAACUGAACGCGUGUACAUAGCUAUCCGUACCGCAAACCGACACAGGUGCUCAGGUCGAGUAGACCCAGGCGUACGAGUGAUUCUUCGUUAAGGAACUCGGCAAUUUAGCGACCGUAACUUCGGGAUAAGGUCUGCCCCGUCACUAUGUUUACAAACUAGUGACAUUGCCAGUUUUCUUUCUUAGAAAACAGAAAUGAUAUCGAGAUUAAUUUGAGACAACACAUCAGAAGGAAGAGAGCUGACUCUGUUUACUAUGUCUUUGCAGAUAUAGUGACGGGGCCGCAGCUAAGGAGCCCACGCAACUGUUUACCAAAAACACAGGUCUCUGCGAACACGAAAGUGGAUGUAUAGGGGCUGACUCCUGCCCGGUGCUGGAAGGUUAAGGGGAGUGCUUUACGGUGCGAACUGAAGCCCCAGUGAACGGCGGCGGUAACUAUAACCGUCCUAAGGUAGCGAAAUUCCUUGUCUGGUAAGUUCAGACCCGCACGAAUGGAGUAAUGAUGUGGGCACUGUCUCAACGAAGAGCUCGGUGAAAGUGCAUUGACGGUAAAGAUGCCGUCUGUCCGCAGCAGGACGAAAAGACCCCGUGGAGCUUUACUACAGUUUGACAUUGUGUCGAGCUGCAACAUGUGUAGCAUAGGUGGGAGACUUUGAAACUUAGACGCUAGUCUAGGUGGAGUCGCAAUAUGAAAUACCACCCUUGUUGUAGUUUUACACUCACGGGGACCACAAAGAGUAGAAGUCACAGCACGUUUUGAUAUAUAACGGAGCAUGAUGACGUCUAUUCUUUCUGGUCCCUGGACAGUGUCUGAUGGGUAGUUUAACUGGGGCGGUUGCCUCCUAAAGAGUAGCGGAGGCGUUCAAAGGUUGGCUAGGUUCGGAUGGAAAUCGAAUCGAUAGUGCAAGCGCAUAAGCCAGCUUGACUGUGAGGACUACAAUCCAAGCAGACGCGAAAGCGGGAGCUAGUGAUCCGUCAUACGUACAUUUAUGUACAUGAACGUGGGAUCGAUGACGCAAACGGAUAAAAGUUACCCCGGGGAUAACAGGCUUAUAGCGCCCAAUAGUUCACAUAGACGGCGCUGUUUGGCACCUCGAUGUCGGCUCAUCUCAUCCUGGAGGGGGAGCACCUUCCAAGGGUCCGGCUGUUCGCCGGUUAAAGAGGUACGCGAGCUGGGUUCAGAACGUCGUGAGACAGUUCGGUUUAUAUCCGCUGUGGACGAUAGGAAAUUUGAGAGAAUCUGCCCCUAGUACGAGAGGACCGGGGUGGACGCACCGCUGGUGUAUCGGUUGUUCUACCAAGAGCAUUGCCGAGUAGCUAUGUGCGGAAUAGAUAAGCGCUGAAAGCAUAUUAAGCGCGAAACUAGUCUCAAGAUUAGAUUUCCCUAUGAGGACACUGAAAGACGAUCAGUUUGAUAGGCGCAAGGUGGAAGUACGGUAACGUAUGGAGCCGAAGCGUACUAAUAGUCCCAUUGACUUUUUAC